AUGCCUAGUUGUGGUUUCAUUAUCAUCAACUUGCUCUUUGUUGUAUUCGUAUUCUUCCAGAGUUAUGUUCAUCUUCGUUUUCUUCAACCUCUUCAUCCACUUCUUUGUUCGCGAGAUUUGGAAAUGGAAAACGCAACGUAUGUAUCAAGGCUAGCACCUGUUCAAACUAUCAGGCUUAGAAUACACCAUAAGGGGGAAUUGACUACUCAUCCUAUGAACUGGUAUGUUAGUGAAACAUCGUCUGAAAUGAACUGGACUGAUAUGUGGACUUAA